AGUUCUUGUUCACGAGUUCGAGUUUCUCCUAAAAAGGAACUGUUUCCGUCUGAACAUAUAUCACCAAGCAGCUAAUUACAUAUUGGAAAAGAUUGUAGAACAAAGGUCUUAAUUUUUUUUUGUUAAAGAAAACCCUAAUAUUUUGCUCAUUAACAUCUACUAUAUGAAUCCCCUAGAGACCCAUUCAAAAAUAUAAAACAUCCUACCCACUCCCACCUC
rnacentral:lncRNA from 1 species